GACGAACGCUGGCGGCGUGCCUAAUACAUGCAAGUUGAGCGAUGAAGAUUGGUGCUUGCACCAAUUUGAAGAGCAGCGAACGGGUGAGUAACGCGUGGGGAAUCUGCCUUUGAGCGGGGGACAACAUUUGGAAACGAAUGCUAAUACCGCAUAACAACUUUAAACAUAAGUUUUAAGUUUGAAAGAUGCAAUUGCAUCACUCAAAGAUGAUCCCGCGUUGUAUUAGCUAGUUGGUGAGGUAAAGGCUCACCAAGGCGAUGAUACAUAGCCGACCUGAGAGGGUGAUCGGCCACAUUGGGACUGAGACACGGCCCAAACUCCUUCGGGAGGCAGCAGUAGGGAAUCUUCGGCAAUGGACGAAAGUCUGACCGAGCAACGCCGCGUGAGUGAAGAAGGGUUUCGGAUCGUAAAACUCUGUUGGUAGAGAAGAACGUUGGUGAGAGUGGAAAGCUCAUCAAGUGACGGUAACUACCCAGAAAGGGACGGCUAACUACGUG
rnacentral:rRNA from 1 species